AAUGAACAUCCUCCCCCGCAUCCUGUUCUUAUCACUACCGGUUCGAGUCACGAAAUCUCAACUUGUGACAUUACAGAGAGCCAUAGGGAACUAUAUCUGGCAAAAUAAGAGACAUAGGAUCGCCAGACAAGUCCUAUACAGACGAAAAGACAGAGGAGGUCUGGGACUACCGAAUCUAUACUGCUAUUACCUGGCGGCCCAACUGACCC